rnacentral:rRNA from 1 species
UACGGAGGGGGCUAGCGUUGUUCGGAAUUACUGGGCGUAAAGCGUACGUAGGCGGCUUUGUAAGUUAGAGGUGAAAGCCCAGAGCUCAACUCUGGAAUUGCCUUUAAGACUGCAUCGCUUGAAUCGUGGAGAGGUUAGUGGAAUUCCGAGUGUAGAGGUGAAAUUCGUAGAUAUUCGGAAGAACACCAGUGGCGAAGGCGACUAACUGGACACGUAUUGACGCUGAGGUACGAAAGCGUGGGGAGCGAACAGG